rnacentral:rRNA from 1 species
CUACGGGUCGCUGCAGUGAGGAAUUUUGCGCAAUGGGGGAAACCCUGACGCAGCAACGCCGCGUGAGCGAAGAAGGCCCUCGGGUCGUAAAGCUCUGUCAAGUGGGAAAAAAAUCUUUUGAUCAAUAGUCAAAAGACUUGGUGGUACCACUGGAGGAAGCACCGGCUAACUCCGUGCCAGCAGCCGCGGUAAUACGGGGGGUGCAAGCGUUGUUCGGAUUUACUGGGCGUAAAGAGCGUGUAGGCGGUUUAGCAAGUCAGAUGUGAAAGCCCUGGGCUCAACCCGGGAAGUGCAUUUGAAACUGCUUCACUAGAGUAUGGGAGAGGAGAUUGGAAUUCCUGGUGUAGAGGUGAAAUUCGUAGAUAUCAGGAGGAACACCCGUGGCGAAGGCGAUUCUCUGGACCAAUACUGACGCUGAGACGCGAAAGCGUGGGGAGCAAACAGGAUUAGAUACCCCCGUAGUC